AACUCAAUACAUUUUUUUUUGUUUUAAACAACCCUUCAGUAAAAGAAUAUUAUUAAAAAUUUUGCUUUUAAAACUAUACAUUGUAAACCUGGUAAUAUUCUGAUAAUAUGCACAUAAAAAACACUUUCAAAAGAUUGAAUUAAAAAAAAACAACAUGUAUGCAAGAAAAUUAUAUUGGAGAAUUAAUGCUGGUUUAAAGUUGCAUUUGAUUAAGGAAUGCAAAGAUAAUAAAUUCUUUAACAAAACAAUUGUUGAGCCCAAAAAAAUUGCCAACUUUUUUGUUUAUAUUUGCAUAGUCUUGAAACAAAAAGUUUAUGCAAUAUGAUAUUUCUAAUUAGAAAUCAACCAUAUCACUAACAACCAAUUAACAAAGGUAAAUGAAUCAAAAGUAAAAACAAUGUACACAACCAACAUAUUUCAAAAGUACAACAGUUUAUAUUACAUACAUAGAAUGGACAACUCAAAGAUCUCAUUGGUUUGUAUGCUGAUUCAGUUCCACUGAAAGAUCUCAUUAGCUUGUAUGUUGAUUCAGUUCAACUCAAAGAUCUCAUUAGCUUGUAUGUUGAUUCAGUUCAACUCAAAGAUCUCAUUAGCUUGUAUGU